UACGGGGGGAGCAAGCGUUGUUCGGAUUUACUGGGCGUAAAGGGCGCGUAGGCGGCCAGUGCAAGUCAGUUGUGAAAUCUCCGAGCUUAACUCGGAAAGGUCAACUGAUACUACUCGGCUAGAGUGCGGAAGGGGCAACUGGAAUUCUUGGUGUAGCGGUGAAAUGCGUAGAUAUCAAGAGGAACACCUGCGGCGAAGGCGGCUCUCUGGGACGGUACUGACGCUGAGACGCGAAAGCGUGGGGAGCGAACAGG
rnacentral:rRNA from 1 species